UACGUAGGGGGCGAGCGUUGUCCGGAAUCAUUGGGCGUAAAGCGCGCGUAGGCGGCCCGGUAAGUCCGCUCUGAAAGUCCAGGGCUCAACCCUGGAAAGCGGGUGGAUACUGCCGGGCUAGAAUCCGGAAGAGGCGAGUGGAAUUCCUGGUGUAGCGGUGGAAUGCGCAGAUAUCAGGAGGAACACCAAUUGCGAAGGCAGCUCGCUGGGACGUUACUGACGCUGAGACGCGAAAGCGUGGGGAGCAAACAGG
rnacentral:rRNA from 1 species